UGUUUUUGUUUUUCUGUGGACAGGUUUUUAAUUUUAUAACUAAAUAGAGUGACAAUUACCAUGGCCCUCUCCAGAGUAGCGUAUUUCUUGUUCAUGUAUGUUUGUUGAGAGGCAAGGGUGGGGGGGCUUUGUUUGUGCCUCGGACCUGUGAGAUACUGAAAUACCUGGGGUUCCUUAAGAAUUCUGUACGUUUAAGCAGAUGGGUAUAUGGUAACUGCCCCAGUUUGUAUGCAUUUUGGCCACACACAGUAUACACAGAUUUUGAGGAGUUGAGGGAAAAGUUAGUUAUGGGUAAUGAAAAUAUUUUGGACUUGGGUUAAAUUUUUCCUUACAAGCUGGCUGGCUCAAUGUAAUGAGCUUUAUGAGAUGGCUUUUUGGGGCCUUUUUUUUUUUUUUGCCGGGGGUAGGUCCUAUGGAUGGAAUCUUCAUUUUUAAUUCUUUUAAGGAAAUGAUGUGGGAAUAAUACAGCUGUACAUAUAAGGAGAGUAUGGGAUGAGUCUUUUUGUAUCACAAAGCCUUGCAUAGAGGAUGUGUUUAUUUUAUUAAUGAGUUCACUGCAUAAAAUAUAUACCUUUUUUAUUAAGUGGUGUGAUUUUUAUCACAAAAGCUUGUCUUUCUUGGUGGCUUGGCUUGAGUUAAAAGCCUGUGUUUGUGUUAUCCCAAGCUUUGGAAUAAAUGAUUGUGUCCUAUUUUGAUAUAUGGUCUUAUUUUAAAAUAUUCUUUUUGUUGCUGUUUUUUUUGCAUUUCUCAAAACAAGUAGUGAUGGGGAGUGUAAAGAGCCCUUAUACACAAAACUAAUAAUGCAUUGAGAAGAUUGAAUAUGAAAUAUGCUUUUUUUUUGUUUUGUAGAGCCUUCCCCAAUUGUAAAUUUGCUGAAAAAUGUUUGUUUGUUCACCCAAAUUGUAAAUAUGAUGCAAAGUGUACUAAACCAGAUUGUCCCUUCACUCAUGUGAGUAGAAGAAUUCCAGUACUGUCUCCAAAACCAGGUGAGUGAGUGACUGUGCUACUACAUUUGGGUAAAAAAUAUAAAAUGGCAUUUUGUGACUGUAAAUGGAAUUGAACAAACAAAAGAUGGUUUCAGAAAUAAUUUUGGCAGGAUCAGUUAAUCCAACCAGUCUUUAAAGAGCAAGUGUGCCUAUCUGUAGUAUUCCGAAGUAUUUUGACUAGUGAAUAUAUAAACCUUACCAUUCUAAUUUAAAAAUGGUUUUCACUUUCAAAAAAAACAUCAGUAGACUGCAUUAAAAAUGGGUUUUCCAAACAGAUUGGAGAUCAGUCCUGGUUUUUAUUUUGUUAGCAGUUGCACCACCAGCACCACCUUCCAGUAGUCAGCUCUGCCGUUACUUCCCUGCUUGUAAGAAGAUGGAAUGUCCCUUCUAUCAUCCAAAACAUUGUAGGUUUAACACUCAGUGUACAAGACCGGACUGCACAUUCUACCAUCCCACCAUUAAUGUCCCACCACGACAUGCCUUGAAAUGGAUUCGACCUCAAACCAGCGAAUAGCACCCAGUCCUGCCUGGCAGAAGAUCAUGCAGUUUGGAAGUUUUCAUGUACUGAUGAAAGAUACUCUACAGAACUUGUCAAAUCUUUGAAACUUGGAAUAUAUUGCUUUCAUAAUAUGAAGUUUUAUUGCCUAUCUAUCUAUCUGAAGUGUCUAAUUUUUCAAGUUUGUAAGUUUAUUACGUGGUUUUAACAUUGGGUGUUUUUGUUUUGUUUUUACUAUGAAAAGACAGCUUAAGGAAGAGCUAAAUUCUGUUGAAAUAUUUGGGGCGCGUUUGUGCACCUGCUGUUGUGAGGCUCAGCAUAUGAAAUUGACAUCAUGGUUAGUCAUGGUACUGCAGCUUAGGGGGCUACACGGUUGCUGUGUGAGUGGAGAGAUGCAGUGAGGCAGUUGUCAUUAUUCUAAAAAUUGUACUACUUUCACUUUUCCCAAAGAUUAUAUAAUGUUCAUAAUCCACCAUGAAAACAGCAUUGGCCAAAGGUACUGAGGCUGCUUAAAAUAUUCAAUUCUGCUUUUUAAUUUUUAAGUGAAUUUAGUUUGAAAAGCAUGAUUAUACAGGCCUCUCAGGCUGAGUGCUACUUUGGUAAAGUUCCCAGUUUUCCUGCCUUCUGUGACAGGAUGAAUGAGGUGGGUAUGGACGGUGGAGGCAGCUGGAAUGGCAAGUGCAGAAAAUAGGAACAGUUCUAUACAGUGCUCUCAUUUACUAAUAACAUAAUGCCUUCUAAAUAAUUUUUUUGGGAAACUACAUUAUCACAAAAUUAUACAAAUUUUUUUACAAGUAUUUACAUACUGUAUCUGAAAACAGACUUUAAAGUCACAAGAUUAUAAAUGUACAUAUGUAUUCUCACAUUCUGAAAAAUAACAUUCUCAGAAUCCACAGAAAAUAUACUUAGUUACUACUGAAGAUAAUUUUUGAAAUGUAAAAAUUAGAUUUAAAUAGUAUAUUUUAAAUGACAGAACUAUAAUUACAGAGAUCAGAUCAGAUAGGUAAACUGCAAGAUAGAUAGGAUGAAACUUUUGGCCUACUGUAUUACUUACAGAGUUUUUUUGUGUGUGGUUUUUAAAACUGUUAAGGCAAGAAGUGUCAAAUGCUUUAGAGUUAAAUAACAGAUCACUGAUUUCAAAGACUUGGUGUAUAGUGUUAAAAAUUAAAGCUUAAAAGGUGGUUAGAAAAGUGGAUUAAUGCAAAAGGGGUAAUAAAGACUGCAACAUUCUCAGGACCAAAUUAAACUGCU
rnacentral:sRNA from 1 species